CUAGGUUAAAUGCCUGUGAGAAAAUGGUCAGAACAUGAAACCGUAUCAGUAAGUUCACGCACUAGGGCACAGAAGAAGGAAGAGACUUUUUGUCUAAAGGUUGGAUAGAUGAUAUACUCCUACUCCAGAAGUGGGAAGUACCUCAGCAUGGAAGAGCAUAUUCCAUCAUCUAGCACAUUUUAUCAUGAUCCCUUCAUUACAUACAAGGUAUACCUCUGGCAUACACAGUGACCCGAGUCCUUCAUACAGCACUUAUGAUUUCUGCAGCCAUACAUGCUGCUAUAAAGAAUCAGCUCCUACUCUGAAGCCCAGAAGAAGGAAGAAAGUCUGUAAAACAGAGACAUGGCAUUACUCCUACACUACAGAUAGCAUCAGACGGGCCUCCAGUGAAUGACACCGCCAAGAAACUGCAUAGCCUGGUACGGCCAUCAGAUCAUUACCCAUUACUGCUUUUCUACAAGGGGAAUGAUGAAGCACCUACAUGCAGUUCAAGGGACAUCAAAAAGGACUUCAAGGCCUUAGAAUGUCUGCUCAAGAUAUCAAGGGCACAGAUCAUCUUCUCUUCUCUGCUCCCUGUAAGGACACUGAAAGAAACAAAAGGAUUCUGUCUAUAAACAUUUGGCUUCAUGGCUAAUGCAACCAUCAAAACUUUGGGUUUUUUUUGAUAACAGAAUGGCUUACACGUCACCAGGCUUGCAGUCACCAAAUGAGUUUCACCUCUCUCAAAGGGGAAGGAGGAUCAUUGGGGGAAAAAGUAACAUGGCUAAGUGGCAGGGCUUUAAACUAGGUUUGAAGGGGGAAGGGGUGAUAGUAAGCCUGCUCAUGAUAGUGUGUGGGAUGGCACAGCUAAGUUAGAGAGGCAGGGUGCUAGUGAGGGCCCUCAACCUGCUGAGAUGUGCCAGCAAUACUGCAGCACACUUGAAAUCUUGUGACAAUGAGCCAGGGACCACUGAGGCAGCAGGAAAAGGCAACAGGGAAAUUCAAGGAAAAUACUUCAAAGAAAUUAAGGAUUUAUCCUCCAAGAAGGCUACAAGGCCUGGUGGGAUGAUUCCCAUGACUGGAUUGUGGCUAUUGAUGGCUAUUGGCUGUUCAGAAGGGACACAAGCUGUUCAGAAGGGAGAGGCCAGGAAGGAGGGGAGGAAGUGUUUUCUCUACAUCAAGGAAAGAAUAGAGUGUGAAAAGCAGUCCCUGAAGAAUGGCCAUGAGCGAGUCAAAAGCUUAUGGGUGAGACUUAGAGACCAAGGCAACAAAGAGAGCCUUGUGGUUGGGGUCUACUACUGGCAGCCUGAUCAAGCGGAGCCUUCUUCCUCCAGCUACAAGAGGAAGAAGUUCCUUUUGUUCCAAACAUUG